GCCGGAUUUAGGGGAGGGCAACCGGGGCUUCUGCCCCGGGCCUCUACAAAAGAGGGGCCCCCCACAAUAGAGAAUUCGGUAAAUUUACCAUUUUAUUUGGAAAAAAUUUGGGGCCAGGGGGCCUCCACUCCUUUAUUGCCCGAGGCCUCCAGACCUCUAAAUCCGGCAUUGGUGCCGCUUGUGUUUAAAAUCAAUCACCUCGACGAGCUUAGGGGCUGUGGCGGAGACACGAGACGAGCCGCAAGCUGAACCAUGAGGCGCGUGUGGAGCUCACGAGCUGUGGCCGAGCGAGACACGAGACGAGCCGCGAGCCGAGCCACGAAUGUAAACGUGGUGAAAAAUAUCUGAGUGAAACAAAAGACUACCAACGUCCGUCACGUCCGUCAACGUCAUUUUGACAUCCAGGCAAUACCGCAAAACACCAAGAAAAACCACUGAAACGAAGCCAACACGAAUUCUACUUAAAUACAUUGUAAUCGGGAUCGGGUAAUCGCUGCCUGCGAUCAGCUGUACAAAUUGGUUAACCGUUGGAACUACAUUGGAAAAUAUAUCUGGAAACUCAUUUAAUAUUAAUAAAAUUUAUAAGACUUCAGUUAAUAAGUGACAACAAACUGCUAACAAUAUCAAUGGAGCAUUCUGAUUGUGAAUUGGAAGCUACGGAGGAUCCCGACCUAGAAGGCACUACCACAAUCUUUGAUGUGCUCAGAAUCGACAUUUGCUGCCGAGCAAUCCUAGAGAAAAUACCGUUUCCAGACCUGGUACGCUCUGAAAGAGUAAGCAGAGAAUGGCAGGCCAUUGUGCAUGACUAUCUACGUAACAACAAGCGCAAUAUGAGAUUCUUUGAUCUUUACAGAGAUAUCCAUCGUUAUAACCAAAGAGACAAAAUCUGCAAGAAUAAUCCGUUGAUCAUGGAUCAUACGGUUGUUAUCCGUAGACACAAUUCUUCAGAAAUAAUCAAGAAACCGAUACAUUUAAUUAUUAAAGAGGUUACGGAUCGCUGGUUGACAUAAACAACCUGAGCUUACAUAUGACCAUUUAUGCCAGUAGUAGCAUAACUUAAUAUACAGCGUAAACUACAUAUGUCACUCGACAUAACAAUUCACUCUAUAUCAUCGACAUUUGUUGCCUAUAGUUGGUUUACUUUAGUAUUAAUUUUUCUCUAUAUGACAAAAACUCAAUGGUGUUAUAAAAUGUCCGGUCCCUUGAGUGUGGCUAUAUUAUAGUUUACAACUUUACACUAUGGAAUAUUUAAAUUUUAGGCCUGAUAAAAUAGACUUUUUGUGCUUGCCAUUACUAACAAAUGCACUUUGUUUAAGAGCAUUUAAUUGACACAUACAAAAGAAACGAUUAUUGUUGAUCUAUUCACAUUAGGAUCCAAAUACACGUAUUCUUAUACAGGUGUUUAUUUAGUCACCUGCAAUAAUUUACGGGGUGAAUAUAUAGGUCAUACUGAGCAACUUUUACGAUGGGACCCGAAGUCGCGAAAAAAAAAAUUAGCUGUUUCAAAUUUUCUAAGGGAGAGUAAAUUUUUUAUACGAUUUCGGGGUUGGUCCCAUAGUAAAAGUUGCUCAGUAUGACCUACAUAUUCAGCCCGUAAAUUAUUGCAGGUAAAUAAAUAAACAACGUGUAUGUAGCAUAAAAAAAAAAAGAUAAUUUAUAUUCAUUCUCAUUAUUAGCAAUACAAAGUGUGUAGCCUGAUUUACAUGCGUGCCGACACUUCGCAUGCGUCAGGGACGCAGCUAUGCGGUGGAAUGAGAUAGCAAUAUCGCUUGCUCUCUCUAACGCAUAACUGCGUUCCUGACGCUUGGCAAUUCUCGGCACGCAUGUAAAUCAGGCUUAUCAGUAGACCAUCUGUUAUUUAACCACUGUUUAUUAAAAAACUCACAUAAAACUAAAUUAUUCUAGGCAUCGUAAUUUAUUUAUCCUUUCAGGUAUAGCCUGAAAAAUCUUCUCGGGACUGAAUUUUAAUUGAAAAAAGCUUUUUAUCUUUACAUUAGAUCUCUUCGGUUAUUUUUAGUCAAUUAGAACAUUAUUUUAAAAUUAGGUAUUUGGUUGUUUUUUCUUAAUGGAAUGGAUUUGUAUAUGAUGAAAUAUAAACUUGGUAAUAUAAUGAAAAGCAUAAUCCUUGUACCUGGUAGGUAUUUGUUUAUUUAUAUUUGUUCCUUUACAUACCUACUUAAAUUAUACACAUUUUAGUAAUAGUUUGCUAUCUCUUUUAUUCAUAAGUUUUUGUUGACGGUAUUUUAUUUAAAGCAACACAAUUUAAUCAUUGGUAAAGUAAGGACACUGCACGAAGAAUCUUGUACAUUGACCCUCCAUUAACUAUCUGUGUCACACGCGCAUUACGCGCAUACUGCUGUCUCGCUCGCACAGUGGCACGACCGCCGGCACUAUCGGCGUGAAUGUGGGCUUACCGCGAACCACGUUCGACGUGUUGCCUCCCUAUCACACUUACGUACGAAUUUACAAGUGCGACAGAGAGGCAACACGUCGAACUUGGUUCGCGGUAGGCCCUAAGCAAUAUAAUUAUGCGCGGGCACGCGCGGGCAAUAGACCUAUCUCUAUGCCAUUUUCUAAAAUAGCGGGUCAAUGUAAGAAAUUCUUCUAGCUUAGCGUUCUUACUUUAGACCGUAUUUCGUUGGUCCGUGUGAUGUGUCUGACACUGACAAUCAAUAUGUAUGUUGCUAGGGACUUCAUACUAUUGUAACUUUGACAAUACCUUGUACCGAGAUGGUACUGAAAUUGAAUUCCUUGACCUACCAGAGAACAUGAUAGGAAGGAAAAUUUGAAUUAGAGGUGAACUGUCAAAUAAAAUUUUGUAGCCAUAGUAAAUUGACUGCCAUCUAUCUCCACAUGAUUAAAACUUUUUAGGAAGACCAUUUGACUUUGAUCCUUAUUCUUUCUCCGAUAUGUGUUAAAUUUGUUGAAAUCAAAAAGUGGCGCCAUCUUACCCGGCAUCGGCUAAAGGUUGUGGCGCCAUCGCUCGAAACGAUACCGCCAUACCUUUGGCCUUUGUUCUAUUAGAUGGCGCCACUUUUUGAUAUUUAACAAAUUUAACACAUAUCAGCGAAAGAAUAAGGAUCAGAGUCAAAUGGCCUUCUAAAAGUUUUAAUCAUAUGUCGAAAGAUGACAAUACAUUUACUGUGGCUACAUAGUUUUCUUUGUCUAUCACCCUCUAUUUCAAAUUCUCUAUGAUGAUGGUUUAAAUUUUGUGCAAUAAAAGUACCGUCAGCAAAGAAGGUUGUGUUUUUUACAAUUACACUUAUUUUUAUUGUAACUCUACUGUGUGUAGUUCACCCAUAAUAAAAUUAAUGAAUUAAUAAA